rnacentral:tRNA from 1 species
AGAGAGGAUGGAACUGGUGUUUCGGCCGGUCUUCAAAACCGGUAAUAGGCAGCUAACACUGUCUAUGGCAGGUUCGAUUCCUGCCCUCUCUGCCA